GUUUAUGUUCCCAAACUAGCACUCAAGGUCAAAAGUCACAAAAAUAUCACUUAAUAUUUUAUCAAAAGUCACAAACUUAGGGUUUAGAGUUAAAGGGUGGGGUUUAGGAUUUAGGAUUUAGGGUUUAGGGUUUAGAUUUUAGGGUUUAGAGUUUAGGGUUUAUGGUUUAGGGUUUAGAGUUUAGGGUUUAGGGUUUAUGGUUUAGGGUUUAGGGUUUAGAGUUGAGAAAUGAGGUUUUGGGGAUAAGAUUUCAAAUUUUGAAAAAUAAAAAAAUUAAAAUUUUCAAAGGAUAAACUUAGAAAUGUGCUAUUUUGGUCGUUUUAGUUUUUGAGUGCUAUUUUUGUG
rnacentral:lncRNA from 1 species